rnacentral:miRNA from 1 species
CUUGGCACUGUCAGUGGAUGUGA